GUGCUUGUGGUGUAGUGGUUAUCACAUCCACCUAACACGCGGAAGGUCCCAGGUUCGAUCCCUGGCAGGCACA
rnacentral:tRNA from 1 species